GCAGUCGUACGAUGGAUACCCGUAAUGCUGGGUGGAUUAGUGGCGAACGGGUGAGUAACACGUGAGUAACCUGCCCUUAACUCUGGGAUAAGCCUGGGAAACUGGGUCUAAUACCGGAUAGGAGCGCCCACCGCAUGGUGGGUGUUGGAAAGAUUUAUCGGUUUUGGAUGGACUCGCGGCCUAUCAGCUUGUUGGUGAGGUAAUGGCUCACCAAGGCGACGACGGGUAGCCGGCCUGAGAGGGUGACCGGCCACACUGGGACUGAGACACGGCCCAGACUCCUACGGGAGGCAGCAGUGGGGAAUAUUGCACAAUGGGCGCAAGCCUGAUGCAGCGACGCCGCGUGAGGGAUGACGGCCUUCGGGUUGUAAACCUCUUUCAGUAGGGAAGAAGCGAAAGUGACGGUACCUGCAGAAGAAGCACCGGCUAACUACGUGCCAGCAGCCGCGGUAAUACGUAGGGUGCGAGCGUUAUCCGGAAUUAUUGGGCGUAAAGAGCUCGUAGGCGGUUUGUCGCGUCUGUCGUGAAAGUCCGGGGCUUAACCCCGGAUCUGCGGUGGGUACGGGCAGACUAGAGUGCAGUAGGGGAGACUGGAAUUCCUGGUGUAGCGGUGGAAUGCGCAGAUAUCAGGAGGAACACCGAUGGCGAAGGCAGGUCUCUGGGCUGUAACUGACGCUGAGGAGCGAAAGCAUGGGGAGCGAACAGGAUUAGAUACCCUGGUAGUCCAUGCCGUAAACGUUGGGCACUAGGUGUGGGGACCAUUCCACGGUUUCCGCGCCGCAGCUAACGCAUUAAGUGCCCCGCCUGGGGAGUACGGCCGCAAGGCUAACACUCAAAGGAAUUGACGGGGGCCCGCACAAGCGGCGGAGCAUGCGGAUUAAUUCGAUGCAACGCGAAGAACCUUACCAAGGCUUGACAUGUUCUCGAUCGCCGUAGAGAUACGGUUUCCCCUUUGGGGCGAGUUCACAGGUGGUGCAUGGUUGUCGUCAACUCGUGUCCUGAAAUGUUGAGUUAAGUCCCGCAACGAGCGCAACCCUCGUUCCAUGUUGCCAGCACGUAAUGGUGGGGGACUCAUGGGAAGACUGCCGGGGGUCAACUCCGAAGGAAGGGGAGGACGACGUCCAAUCAUCAGGCCCCUUAGGUCUUGGGGCUUCCGCAUGCUUACAUGGGCCGGGUCAAUGGGGUUGGCAAAACCGUGGAGGUGGAACCUAUUCCCAAAAAGCCGGUUUCAGUUCCGAAUGGGGGUCCUGCACCUCGAACCCUGGUAAGUCGGAAUCCUCUGUAAUCCCCGAAUUACCCAACCCUUGCGGGUGAAUUCGUUCCCCGUGUCCUUGUUCAACCCUGCCCGUU
rnacentral:rRNA from 1 species